rnacentral:lncRNA from 1 species
AGAUAGAGAGGUGGAUCAUCUCAAACAGGGUCACGUUCAUGUUCUGCUUGUGGCCGCACUCAUCGUGGCGAGUGUUGGGGUACAUCUCAAAGUUGCUACACUUGCAGAGAGGUUGGUCACAUUACGAGGUUUUGCCCUCGAGAUAGUGGUACUGGUCAGACAGGCACGCUUCUAGACCUACUCAGAUAGCACUUCAGGUUACUUCCGAGGCACCCCCAGCCCAGCAGGGCCAACAGCAGACUCAGAGAUAGAGAGAUAGAUCAUCUCAGACAGGGUCACGUUCAUGUUCUACUUGUGGCCGCACUCAUCGUGGCGAGUGUUGGGGUACAUCUCAAAGUUGCUACACUUGCAGAGAGGUUGGUCACAUUACGAGGUUUUGCCCUCGAGAUAGUGGUACUGGUCAGACAGGCACGCAGCAGCAGGGUACUAUGGUUACCGCACCUCCUCCAGCAUAGCCAGUUAGAGCUGUUCCUCAUGGUACUCAGGGUCGUGGACGUCCAGGUCGGCUUUGUUAAAGUAUAUAUACACAUAUACUU